UCAAUCUUUAGGGUUGCAGAAUGGAGUAGAUGCAUUGAAGCCGUGCGUCCAAAACGCCUAGGUCUUCUAUUCUUAUGCAGAGGCUGGCUGGCCAUCUGUCGGGAAGGCUUUGAUGGUGCUUUUCCCGCCUGGAAGAAAGAAAAGGGUUGGGCUGGAUGUGCUUUGGGGGUCCCUUGUGAUAAUAAUAAUGCUUCUUUUCUUCCCAAGGGAUGGGGGACUGACCCGCAGGUUGAAGGUCAGUGCUCUUUGCCCGGCUUUUGUUUGGCUUUGGAUUCCGAUGGGGGCCAAAGGGGUCAGGCUCCACUGACCACUGCCCGGCCGGCCGGAGGGAAAGGUCAGCGGUCAAGAGGCCCCGGCAGGGAAAAAAGAACCUUCCUCCCUUCCGUCCAUUCAGACACCUCUCCGGCAAGAGCAAAAGCCAUAUUGUUCCAAAACGGAGGAGGCGUGGCCUGGGCUUGUGGGCGGGGCCUGGAGUGUUUACAGCGCGAAGGGGGCGUGGCCUUGGCGGCGUCUCGUCGGCGGAAGAGGCGUGUCCCGAAGAAGUCUCCUCUUCCUUGUGUCCGGAGCGGAAGAGGCGUGCCGGGGUGCGCAGUGGGCGGGGCGUGCUGGGCGGAGGCGGGUCCUGCCGCCCUCCGCGGCCUAUCCUGUGAGAGCGUGAGCCGCGGAAGGGGCGUGGCGUGCCGUGAGUGGGCGUGUCCUGCGGGCGAAGUUUCUCCCUGACUUCCAGUGUGCGUCCGGCCGCCGAGGAGCGCGGAGCUCUCCCUCAGGGAAGGAAGGAAGGAAGGAAGGAGCGCGGGAUGGCGCUCUCGGGGGCCUGGGCGGCGGCCAACGGCGAGGCAACGGCGGGUACCGCUCGGCGCCGCGUCGGAGGAGGACGCGGCGUCGUGCUGCUCGCCCCGCGACGAGGCCGAGGCCGAGGCGGAGGCGGAGGAGGAGAAGGGCGGCCCGGCGGCGGACUGCGGCGUCUGCGGGGACAGUCGAGCGGGAAGCACUACGGCGUCUUCACCUGCGAGGGAUGCAAGAGCUUCUUCAAGAGGUCCAUCCGCAGGAACCUCAGCUACACCUGCCGGUAGGAAGAAGGGCCUCUGCCCGGGCGGAUUGGACGUGUCCCCUGCCUGGAAAUACUGUAAUAUUACUAUGAGCUGGAAGGCAUCUCUUGUGAAGUUUUGUUUGUGUCCUCUCACCAGGAAUAGUAUUAUUAUUAUUUAUUAUUAGGACGGGAGGGCCAUCUGGUGCGAAGGGAUUUGAAUGUGUUUUUCUCUCCAGGAAUAGUAUUAUUAGUAUGAGGUUGAA
rnacentral:lncRNA from 1 species